rnacentral:rRNA from 1 species
CAAAGGCUUGGUCCUGACUUUACUAUCAACUUUAGCUAAACUUACACAUGCAAGUAUCCGCACCCCUGUGAGAAUGCCCUACAGUUCCCCGCCCGGGAACAAGGAGCCGGUAUCAGGCACACAUAACCAGCCCAUGACACCUUGCUUAGCCACACCCUCAAGGGAACUCAGCAGUGAUAGACAUUAAGCCAUAAGUGAAAACUUGACUUAGUCAAAGCUAACAGGGCCGGUAAAACUCGUGCCAGCCACCGCGGUUAUACGAGAGGCCCAAGUUGACGGUCACCGGCGUAAAGAGUGGUUAAAGAAUGAUUAAAACUAAAGCCGAACACCUUCAAGGCAGUUAUACGCACCCGAAGGUUAGAAGCCCAACUACGAAAGUGGCUUUAUCUUUCCUGAACCCACGAGAGCUACGGCACAAACUGGGAUUAGAUACCCCACUAUG